ACGGGAGGCAGCAGUGGGGAAUAUUGCACAAUGGGGGAAGCCCUGAUGCAGCGACGCCGCGUGAGUGAAGAAGUAUUUCGGUAUGUAAAGCUCUAUCAGCAGGGAAGAUAAUGACGGUACCUGACUAAGAAGCCCCGGCUAACUACGUGCCAGCAGCCGCGGUAAUACGUAAGGGGCAAGCGUUAUCCGGAUUUACUGGGUGUAAAGGGAGCGUAGACGGCAUGGCAAGUCUGAUGUGAAAACCCGGGGCUCAACCCCGGGACUGCAUUGGAAACUGUCAGGCUAGAGUGCAGGAGAGGUAAGUGGAAUUCCUAGUGUAGCGGUGAAAUGCGUAGAUAUUAGGAGGAACACCAGUGGCGAAGGCGGCUUACUGGACUGUAACUGACGUUGAGGCUCGAAAGCGUGGGGAGCAAACAGGAUUAGAUACCCUGGUA
rnacentral:rRNA from 1 species